UACGUAGGGCGCAAGCGUUAUCCGGAAUUAUUGGGCGUAAAGAGCUCGUAGGCGGUUUGUCGCGUCUGCCGUGAAAGUCCGGGGCUCACCUCCGGAUCUGCGGUGGGUACGGGCAGACUAGAGUGAUGUAGGGGAGACUGGAAUUCCUGGUGUAGCGGUGAAAUGCGCAGAUAUCAGGAGGAACACCGAUGGCGAAGGCAGGUCUCUGGGCAGUAACGGACGCUGAGGAGCGAAAGCAUGGGGAGCGAACAGG
rnacentral:rRNA from 1 species